CAGCCGCGUGCAGCGUGUGAGUCCCUUCGUCACCGCAGCCCUCAAACCUCGCGGAGCCAGUGGACCCCUGUGCAGAACUCGCAAUCCCAGCGACUUCUCCUAUCGAGGCUCUCCUCUGCUCUCCAUCAGCCAGAACGCCGGGAAGCCAAGCCCACGGCGGCCCUGAUAAGACACCAAAACUGUGACAGAUCAACCCACACCCCCGACUCAGUUUCCCCAUCUAGGAGAGGGAUAAUUAUAUCUACCAGCCCAUAUCUAUCAUGAGGAUAAAUGGCCUGCAUUACGCCAAGUGAUCUUAAAACAGGAAGGCUGGUGGAUUAAAUACAGAUUUACAAAGA